UGCAGUCGACGAUGAAGCCCUUCGGGGUGGAUUAGUGGCGAACGGGUGAGUAACACGUGGGCAAUCUGCCCUUCACUCUGGGACAAGCCCUGGAAACGGGGUCUAAUACCGGAUAUGACCGUCUUGGGCAUCCUUGACGGUGUAAAGCUCCGGCGGUGAAGGAUGAGCCCGCGGCCUAUCAGCUUGUUGGUGAGGUAAUGGCUCACCAAGGCGACGACGGGUAGCCGGCCUGAGAGGGCGACCGGCCACACUGGGACUGAGACACGGCCCAGACUCCUACGGGAGGCAGCAGUGGGGAAUAUUGCACAAUGGGCGAAAGCCUGAUGCAGCGACGCCGCGUGAGGGAUGACGGCCUUCGGGUUGUAAACCUCUUUCAGCAGGGAAGAAGCGCAAGUGACGGUACCUGCAGAAGAAGCGCCGGCUAACUACGUGCCAGCAGCCGCGGUAAUACGUAGGGCGCAAGCGUUGUCCGGAAUUAUUGGGCGUAAAGAGCUCGUAGGCGGCUUGUCACGUCGGGUGUGAAAGCCCGGGGCUUAACCCCGGGUCUGCAUUCGAUACGGGCUAGCUAGAGUGUGGUAGGGGAGAUCGGAAUUCCUGGUGUAGCGGUGAAAUGCGCAGAUAUCAGGAGGAACACCGGUGGCGA
rnacentral:rRNA from 1 species